GGCCUUGCUGAGAUCACACUUAUCUCAAGGCCAGACACCCCUGGUGGGCAAGCAGUUUCUGGGAAUAACCAAGAUGAACGGUUGGCAGGAGGAGACUCGGAGCAGGGGAGUUUGUCAGACACAGGAAAAGCAGCCCUGGCUCUAGAUCCCAUGAUGCCUUGACAGCAGAGGAGGGCAGUACAGUGAGCAGCAAAGGUGUGCUGCUUUCAGAGGGCUCCUCCCAAAAGGCCUUAGAGGAGAAUAGUAAAUUGCGUUCAGCAGACUGCUCUGUCCAUGCUCAGAGAUGCAAGAUACUCUUGCAAGAGAUAAAUUAGGAAUAUUUUACCAUUUUUUCCAAAAUACUUUAUGGGGAGAAUCAUCAUUAGACAAAGUUAGAUCAUAUAUAAAGGAAAAAAAUGGGUAAAAGCUACAACAGAUGGAUAUA